rnacentral:tRNA from 1 species
UAGCUCAGCUGGAUAGAGCACUUGGCUACGAACUAAGGGGUCGGGAGUUCGAAUCUCUC